GUGGCUUUAGCUCAGCUGGGAGAGCGUCAGACUGAAGUCCAACUUCCAGUCCAACCAACAGGUUAAUCUGAAGGUCGUGUGUUCGAGCCACACAAGCCACA
rnacentral:tRNA from 1 species